rnacentral:lncRNA from 1 species
CCAGAUAGCUGGGAGAUUUUGGUCAUUUUUUUGAGCAAUUCGGCACCUGAUGAUGUUGUUACCAUAGAUAUUGGCACUUCUGCCUUGCUAAAUGAGGAGGUCAGAAGGAAAUUAUCGGGUAUGUUCUCUUUCGAUGCAUUAAUUGUAAAAAAGCAGGGAAGGAGCAUGAAUCACAAGCAAGGAAGGCUUGAUGGUUUAAGAGG